rnacentral:rRNA from 1 species
GAUGAACGCUGGCGGCGUGCCUAAUACAUGCAAGUCGAGCGAACGGACGAGAAGCUUGCUUUUCUGAUGUUAGCGGCGGACGGGUGAGUAACACGUGGAUAACCUACCUAUAAGACUGGGAUAACUUCGGGAAACCGGAGCUAAUACCGGAUAAUAUUUUGAACCGCAUGGUUCAAAAGUGAAAGACGGUCUUGCUGUCACUUAUAGAUGGAUCCGCGCUGCAUUAGCUAGUUGGUAAGGUAACGGCUUACCAAGGCAACGAUGCAUAGCCGACCUGAGAGGGUGAUCGGCCACACUGGAACGGAGACGCGGUCAAGACUCCUAAGGGAGGCAGCAGUAGGGAAUCUUACGCAAUGGGCGAAAGCAUGACGGAGCAACGCCGCGUGAGUGAUGAAGGUCUUCGGAUCGUAAAACUCUGUUAUUAGGGAAGAACAUAUGUGUAAGUAACUGUGCACAUCUUGACGGUACCUAAUCAGAAAGCAACGGCUAACUACGUG